GCACUCCUGGGCUGGUAUUGGCCUGGAGGAAAGCGUCACCAGAGCAGAGCUGGGAAGCCCCCGCAGUGUGGAUCCAGCCAGCGGCUGAACACUGAGAAAGAAUGGGUACUUGGAAUGUCCGGACAACAGAAACAUGACAGGUGGGCUGUUAAGACAUCCAGUCUACUCCGCCCGGGAGAAAAGAAGUCUAAAGAUAGGUAAAUGGGAAAAUAAUAAGUGGCCAUCGGAAAGAAUUAUUGGGUACUAUGGGCCGACCACAUGGGCAGAGAAUGGCUCAUGGGGACACCAGUCUCCUACCUAUAUGCUCAAUCAGAUCAUCCGGUUGCAGGCAGCCUUGGAAAUACUUGUCAAUGAAAUGGGCAAAGCUCUGUGCAUUUUGGCCAGACAAGAAACUCUAAUGAGAAAUGUGGUUUAUUAGAACCGGCUGGCCAUAGAUUAUUUGCUAGCAGCUUAAGGAGGAGUCUUUAAAAAAUUUAAACUAACUGACUGCUGCCUACACAUAGACAACCAGGCUCAUGCAGUUAAGAACAUAACCAAACUAGCACACGUACCUGGGCAGGUAUGGCACAAAUUCAACCCUGAGUUCUUGUUUAAAGGUUGGUCCUCAGACUUGGGAGAAUUAAAAACCCUCAUCAUAAGUGUGGUAACAAUAGUAGGUGUUUGUUUGCUACUCCCCCAUUUUC